GCCGCGCCUAGUUCGAUGGUGCGAACGCCGGGCACCCUACCCGGCUGGCGCGGCUCUUAAAUAGGGC
rnacentral:sRNA from 18 species